rnacentral:hammerhead_ribozyme from 2 species
UUGCGAAACGGUCCAAGGGGCCGUCGCGUGGGGGUCGCGCCUCACGCCUGAUGAGCAAGCGUAAA